rnacentral:rRNA from 1 species
AUUGAACGCUGGCGGCAUGCCUUACACAUGCAAGUCGAACGGUAACAGGUCUUCGGAUGCUGACGAGUGGCGAACGGGUGAGUAAUGCAUCGGAACGUGCCCAGUUGUGGGGGAUAACUGCUCGAAAGAGCAGCUAAUACCGCAUACGACCUGAGGGUGAAAGCGGGGGAUCGCAAGUCCUCGCGCAAUUGGAGCGGCCGAUGUCAGAUUAGGUAGUUGGUGGGGUAAAGGCCUACCAAGCCGACGAUCUGUAGUUGGUCUGAGAGGACGACCAGACACACAGGGACUGAGACACGGCCCAGACUCCUACGGGAGGCAGCAGUGGGGAAUUUUGGACAAUGGGCGCAAGCCUGAUCCAGCAAUGCCGCGUGCAGGAAGAAGGCCUUCGGGUUGUAAACUGCUUUUGUCAGGGAAGAAAUCCUCUGGGUUAAUACCCCGGGGGAUGACGGUACCUGAAGAAUAAGCACCGGCUAACUACGUGCCGGCAGCCGCCGUAACAC